rnacentral:rRNA from 1 species
GACGAACGCUGGCGGCGUGCUUAACACAUGCAAGUCGAACGAUGAAGCCGGAGCUUGCUCCGGUGGAUUAGUGGCGAACGGGUGAGUAACACGUGAGCAAUCUGCCCUUGACUCUGGGAUAACUGCGGGAAACUGUAGCUAAUACCGGAUACGACACCUUGGGGCAUCCCAGGGUGUGGAAAGAAUUUCGGUCAAGGAUGAGCUCGCGGCCUAUCAGCUAGUUGGGGAGGUAAUGGCUCACCAAGGCGACGACGGGUAGCCGGCCUGAGAGGGUGACCAGCCACACUGGAACUGAGACACGGUCCAGACUCCUACGGGAGGCAGCAGUGGGGAAUAUUGCACAAUGGGCGAAAGCCUGAUGCAGCAACGCCGCGUGAGGGAUGAAGGCCUUCGGGUUGUAAACCUCUUUUAGCAGGGAAGAAGCGAAAGUGACGGUACCUGCAGAAAAAGCACCGGCUAACUACGUGCCAGCAGCCGCCGUAA